UUUGAGCAUUGACUUUUAAAGUUUCUGUAUGAUAGGUCAUAAUCUUGUCAGUGUUGCUUGCAGUUAAUUUAGAUUUUGAUUUGUCUUUUUAAAUAGAUUGAUUUUUCUUUUUAAAUACUUUUUUUUUUUUUUCUUGCACUCAGAUGAAUUUAUUCCGGAAGCUGUAGACAGCGUGAAGUCCAUUGAGGAACCAACUUCAACAGUAUAUUUGCAACCAAAAGCAAAGACGGCCAAAAAGAGAGGCAAACAAACUGCAGCCAGAAGAUGCUGGUCCGCCGAUGAAUGUGCUGCAGUGGAAAAGCACCUCAAGAAGUUCAUUACGAGGAACCAAGUCCCUGGAAAAAUGGACUG